rnacentral:rRNA from 1 species
AGUCGAGCGGUAGAGAGGUGCUUGCACCUCUUGAGAGCGGCGGACGGGUGAGUAAAGCCUAGGAAUCUGCCUGGUAGUGGGGGAUAACGCUCGGAAACGGACGCUAAUACCGCAUACGUCCUACGGGAGAAAGCAGGGGACCUUCGGGCCUUGCGCUAUCAGAUGAGCCUAGGUCGGAUUAGCUAGUUGGUGAGGUAAUGGCUCACCAAGGCGACGAUCCGUAACUGGUCUGAGAGGAUGAUCAGUCACACUGGAACUGAGACACGGUCCAGACUCCUACGGGAGGCAGCAGUGGGGAAUAUUGGACAAUGGGCGAAAGCCUGAUCCAGCCAUGCCGCGUGUGUGAAGAAGGUCUUCGGAUUGUAAAGCACUUUAAGUUGGGAGGAAGGGCAUUAACCUAAUACGUUAGUGUUUUGACGUUACCGACAGAAUAAGCACCGGCUAACUCUGUGCCAGCAGCCGCGGUAAUACAGAGGGUGCAAGCGUUAAUCGGAAUUACUGGGCGUAAAGCGCGCGUAGGUGGUUCGUUAAGUUGGAUGUGAAAUCCCCGGGCUCAACCUGGGAACUGCAUUCAAAACUGUCGAGCUAGAGUAUGGUAGAGGGUGGUGGAAUUUCCUGUGUAGCGGUGAAAUGCGUAGAUAUA